rnacentral:rRNA from 1 species
GACGAACGCUGGCGGCGUGCCUAAUACAUGCAAGUAGGACGCAGUUGCGAACGGGUGAGUAACGCGUAGGUAACUGCCUAUUAGAGGGGGAUAACUAUUGGAAACGAUAGCUAAUACCGCAUACUAGUAGAUGGACCUGCGUUGUAUUAGCUAGUAGGUAGGGUAAUGGGCUACCUAGGCGACGAUACAUAGCCGACCUGGGAGGGGGAUCGGGCAAACUGGGACUGAGGCACGGCUCAGACGCCUACGGGAGGCAGCAGGAGGGAAUCAUCGGCAAUGGGGGGAACCCUGACCGCGCAAAUCCGCGGGAGUGAAGAAGGUUUUCGGAUCGGAAAGCUCUGUUGUUAAGGAAGCGGUACUUAACGAGAAAGGGACGGCUAACUACGUGCCAGCCGCCGCGGUAAUAC